rnacentral:lncRNA from 10 species
CCCUGGUGUCCCCAUUCUUCUCAGAGAAUCCCAACAUCCCGCCUCCACCUCCUUGCUUCUUACUGCCUCUUCCACUCAGCCCACACUUGCAGAAUGAGGACUGCGUCGACUACAAAUUAGACCUCUGCUUCCACCAGGCCUCCUUGAUAGUUCAGCUAAGAGCCGUGCGGGUCUCCGUUGCCCAGGCUGGAGUGCAGUGGCGCGGUCAUAGUUCACUGCAACCUUGAACUCAGGAGCUGAAGCGAUCCUCCCACCUCAGCCUCUAGAGUAGCUGGGACCACAGGCACUCACCACCACCCACAAAAAUCAUAAUUCUGUCAUGCUGAAUUGCUAGUUUGACUAAACGUGGACUUCUUGAUUAAAACCCAUUUUCCCUCAGAAUUUU